rnacentral:rRNA from 1 species
GUGAGGAAUAUUGGGCAAUGGGCGAAAGCCUGACCCAGCAACGCCGCGUGAAGGAAGAAGGUUUUCGGAUCGUAAACUUCUAUCCUUGGUGAAGAUAAUGACGGUAGCCAAGAAGGAAGCCCCGGCUAACUACGUGCCAGCAGCCGCGGUAAUACGUAGGGGGCAAGCGUUGUCCGGAAUGAUUGGGCGUAAAGGGCGCGUAGGCGGCCCGGUAAGUCUGAAGUGAAAGUCCUGCUUUUAAGGUGGGAAUUGCUUUGGAUACUGUCGGGCUUGAGUGCAGGAGAGGUAAGCGGAAUUCCCGGUGUAGCGGUGAAAUGCGUAGAGAUCGGGAGGAACACCAGUGGCGAAGGCGGCUUACUGGACUGUAACUGACGCUGAGGCGCGAAAGUGUGGGGAGCAAACAGGAUUAGAAACCCUGGUAGUCC